AUUUACAAUCGUGUUUUAGUUGUGUGAUGGUUUUUUGAUGUGGUUUUGA
rnacentral:sRNA from 1 species